rnacentral:rRNA from 1 species
AUUGAACGCUGGCGGCAGGCCUAACACAUGCAAGUCGAGCGGAUGAAGGGAGCUUGCUCCUGGAUUCAGCGGCGGACGGGUGAGUAAUGCCUAGGAAUCUGCCUGGUAGUGGGGGAUAACGUCCGGAAACGGGCGCUAAUACCGCAUACGUCCUGAGGGAGAAAGUGGGGGAUCUUCGGACCUCACGCUAUCAGAUGAGCCUAGGUCGGAUUAGCUAGUUGGUGGGGUAAAGGCCUACCAAGGCGACGAUCCGUAACUGGUCUGAGAGGAUGAUCAGUCACACUGGAACUGAGACACGGUCCAGACUCCUACGGGAGGCAGCAGUGGGGAAUAUUGGACAAUGGGCGAAAGCCUGAUCCAGCCAUGCCGCGUGUGUGAAGAAGGUCUUCGGAUUGUAAAGCACUUUAAGUUGGGAGGAAGGGCAGUAAGUUAAUACCUGGCUGUUUUGACGGUACCAACAGAAUAAGCACCGGCUAACUUCGUG